UACGAAGGGGGCGAGCGUUAUUCGGAAUCACUGGGCGUAAAGCGUGCGUAGGCUGUUUCGCAAGUUGGAAGUGAAAGCCCAGGGCUCAACCCUGGAAUUGCUUUCAAAAUUGCGAGACUCGAGUCCGGGAGAGGAUAGCGGAAUUUCCAGUGUAGUAGUGAAAUACGUAGAUAUUGGAAGGAACACCAGUGGCGCAAGCGGCUAUCUGGACCGGUACUGACGCUGAGGCACGAAAGCGUGGGGAUCAAACAGG
rnacentral:rRNA from 1 species